UGGAGGCAGCAGUAGGGAAUAUUGGGCAAUGGGCGCAAGCCUGACCCAGCCAUGCCGCGUGCAGGAUUGAAUGUUCUAUGAAUUGUAAACUGCUUUUGUCUGGGACGAAAAAGUUCCAUUCUUGGAAAACUGACGGUACCAGAUGAAUAAGGACCGGCUAACUCCGUGCCAGCAGCCGCGGUAAUACGGAGGGUCCAAGCGUUAUCCGGAUUCACUGGGUUUAAAGGGUGCGUAGGUGGUCUGAUAAGUCAGUGGUGAAAUCCUGCAGCUUAACUGCAGAACUGCCAUUGAAACUGCCAGGCUUGAGUGUCGUUGAGGCGAGUGGAAUGUAACAUGUAGCGGUGAAAUGCAUAGAUAUGUUACAGAACACCAAUUGUGAAGACAGCUCGCUGGACGAUAACUGACACUGAGGCACGAAAGCGUGGGUAGCGAACAGGAUUAGAUACCCCAGUAGUC
rnacentral:rRNA from 1 species